rnacentral:rRNA from 1 species
UACGGGGGGGGCAAGCGUUGUUCGGAAUUACUGGGCGUAAAGGGCUCGUAGGUGGCCAACUAAGUCGGACGUGAAAUCCCUCGGCUUAACCGGGGAACUGCGUCUGAUACUGGAUGGCUUGAGUUCGGGAGAGGGAUGCGGAAUUCCAGGUGUAGCGGUGAAAUGCGUAGAUAUCGUGAGGAACACCAGAGGCGAAGGCGGUUACCUGGACAGUUACUGACGCUCAGGCACGAAAGCAUGGGGAGCAAAAGGG